GACGAACGCUGGCGGCGUGCUUAACACAUGCAAGUCGAACGGAAAGGCCCUGCUUUUGUGGGGUGCUCGAGUGGCGAACGGGUGAGUAACACGUGAGUAACCUGCCCUAGACUUUGGGAUAACUUCAGGAAACUGGGGCUAAUACCGGAUAGGAGCUCCUGCUGCAUGGUGGGGGUUGGAAAGUUUCGGCGGGUGGGGAUGGACUCGCGGCUUAUCAGCUUGUUGGUGGGGUAGUGGCUUACCAAGGCUUUGACGGGUAGCCGGCCUGAGAGGGUGACCGGCCACAUUGGGACUGAGAGACGGCCCAGACUCCUACGGGAGGCAGCAGUGGGGAAUAUUGCACAAUGGGCGGAAGCCUGAGGCAGCAACGCUGCGUGCGGGAUGACGGCCUUCGGGUUGAGAACCGCUUUCGCCUGUGACGAAGCGGGUGUGACGGUACUGAGUAAAGAAGCACCGGCUAACUACGUG
rnacentral:rRNA from 1 species